UUCCUACGAAAUUUUCGCGUGCGUUUUUCCGUUUUUUCGUAUUCCUCAUCUUUUCCUAUCAAAUGCAUGCUACAGAUGCGAAAACGCAGAAAAUCGAACCUGAUCCGAAUUUUUUUUUAUGACGGACGAAAGUUUCGGAGGCAGUGUGUAAACGUGAUUGACAUACACAACAUGAGGUCGUAUUUAUUUUUCAACGUGCGAAAAUUUCGUACGAAAAGUGUGCAAGUGUGCAAUGACCUUAACUGUAUGGCGCCAUCUAUCGGCUCAAACGCUAACUGUCUGAAUUAAACAUGGCCUCGGAUUGUUGUUGAAACGUGAUGAUUUUGAUUGAUUGCUAAACUCAGUCCCAGUCUCAAGACAACUACAACAUUGAAUAAACAAGGUACAGCACAGAGCUGCGACACACCAGAAGAGAACCGCUGCUUGUAACACAACUUGUUUGAAUCAUGCAAUAAAAUGCAGCUCGGCACUGUGGACAAUUUCAAAGCAACAGGAAAGUACAGAGAGAGAGUGAACAGUACUAGAAUAUGACCUUGGACCGACUUGAACCCGGAUCCCUCUGUCAUGGCACAGUCGACAAAUCUUUUUGGCGGCCAAAUGAAGUCAGAGAAAAAAAGUCCAUCUGACAGCAAGGCACAGAAGUACCUUUGUAUGUGAGAAUGUCAACAGUUACUCAGGGUGAAUACAGACGAGCCCCGAACAGGAAAGCACAAGGACAGUGUGAAUGCAAUGGAGGAAGUCGAGAAUACACAACUUGUGGGACUGACCGAAUCAGUGACUGAAUCAAAGGAAGGACAGGUUGUCAGAGCUUUGGCACAGAAGGAAUGCUGGGGACCGCUCUGUGUCGCUGGAAAUGUCGUCCUCUGAUUCCUCCCAGGAAGAGGAGAAUCCCGUUGAUGAGGCAGAAGAAGAGGAGAGCUUCCUCAGGGCUCUGUAAGGCUGAGGAC